GGGACAUGGUCAGUGGGCAUGGUGGGGAUCGGUUGGGGUCGCACUUGGGGAUCUUAGAGGUCUUUCCCAAUCUUGAUGAUUCCAUAAUUAU
rnacentral:miRNA from 12 species